AGUGGGGAAUAUUGCACAAUGAGGGAAACCUUGAUGCAGCCAUGCCGCGUGUGUGAAGAAGGCCCGAGGGUUGUAAAGCACUUUCAAUUGUGAGGAAGAUUAAGUAGCUAAUAUCUGCUUAAUUUGACGUUAACUUUAGAAGAAGCACCGGCUAACUCUGUGCCAGCAGCCGCGGUAAUACAGAGGGUGCAAGCGUUAUUCGGAAUUACUGGGCGUAAAGCGCGCGUAGGCGGACUGUUAAGUCGGUUGUGAAAGCCCUGGGCUCAACCUAGGAACUGCAUCCGAUACUGGCAAUCUAGAGUUUAAGAGAGGGAAGUGGAAUUCCAGGUGUAGCAGUGAAAUGCGUAGAUAUCUGGAGGAACAUCAGUGGCGAAGGCGACUUCCUGGCUUAAAACUGACGCUGAGGUGCGAAAGCUUGGGUAGCGAACGGGAUUAGAUACCCCGGUAGUCCAAGCCGUAAACGAUGUCAACUAGCUGUUGGUCUUAUUAAAAAGAUUAGUAGCGUAGCUAACGCGAUAAGUUGACCGCCUGGGGAGUACGGUCGCAAGAUUAAAACUCAAAGGAAUUGACGGGGGCCCGCACAAGCGGUGGAGCAUGUGGUUUAAUUCGAUGCAACGCGAAGAACCUUACCAUCCCUUGACAUCCUGCGAACUUUCUAGAGAUAGAUUGGUGCCUUCGGGAACGCAGUGACAGGUGCUGCAUGGCUGUCGUCAGCUCGUGUCGUGAGAUGUUGGGUUAAGUCCCGCAACGAGCGCAACCCUUAUCAUUAGUUGCUAACAUUUAGUUGAGAACUCUAAUGAGACUGCCGGUGAUAAACCGGAGGAAGGCGGGGACGACGUCAAGUCAUCAUGGCCCUUAUGGGAUGGGCUACACACGUGCUACAAUGGGGGGUACAAAGAGCAGCCAACUGGCGACAGUGCGCGAAUCUCAUAAAACCUCUCGUAGUCCGGAUCGGAGUCUACAACUCGACUCCGUGAAGUCGGAAUCGCUAGUAAUCGUGAAUGAGAAUGUCACGGUGAAUACGU
rnacentral:rRNA from 1 species